rnacentral:RNase_P_RNA from 1 species
GGACAGCCGCGCAUAUCCGGCGAAAGGCGGAUAUGUGAGGAAAGUCCGGGCUCCACAGGGCAAGGAUAACGGGUAACGCCCGCCGAAGGCGACUUCAGGAAAAGUGCAACAGAGAGAUACCGCUCCGCAUUGCGGAGUAAGGAUGGAAAGGCGAGGUAAGAGCUCACCCGCCGCAUGGGAACAUUGCGGCGCUGUAAACUCUAUCCGGAGCAACACCGUGGAGGAGACAUAUGGUUUGCCCGACCGUCUCCGGGGAGGUGGCUUGAGCGUGCCGGCAACGGUACGCCUAGAUAGAUGGCUGUCAAUGACAGAACCCGGCUUACAGUACCG